GACGAACACUGGCGGCGUGCCUAAUACAUGCAAGUCGACCUUAGUGGCGAACGGGUGAGUAACACGUGGGUAACCUGCCCAUCAGAAGGGGAUAACACUUGGAACCAGGUGCUAUUACCGUAUACUGAUGGAUGGACCCGCGGUGCAUUAGCUAGUUGGUGAGGUAACGGCUCACAAAGGCCACGAUGCAUAGCCGACCUGAGAGGGUGAUCAGCCACACUGGAACUGAGACACGGUCCAGACUCCUACGGGAGGCAGAAGUGGGGAAUAUUGGACAAUGGGCGAAAGCCUGAUCCAGCCAUGCCGCGUGUGUGAAGAAGGCCUUAGGAUUGUAAAGCACUUUAAGUUGGGAGGCGUUACCAACAGAAUAAGCACCGGCUAACUCCGUGCCAGCCGCCGCGGUAAUUC
rnacentral:rRNA from 1 species